CUGGCGGCGUGCCUAAUACAUGCAAGUCGAGCGGUUCUCUUCGGAGAGCAGCGGCGGACGGGUGAGGAACACGUGAGUAACCGGGCGUCCGGUGGGGGAUAUCGGGCCGAAAGGCGCGGCAAUCCCGCAUACGGCUUGACCGCGCGAGCGGUCAAGGGAAAGGUCUUCGGAUCGCCGGACGGGGGGCUCGCGGCCCAUUAGCUAGUUGGGGGGGUAAUGGCCUCCCAAGGCGACGAUGGGUAGCCGGCCUGAGAGGGUGAUCGGCCACACUGGGACUGAGACACGGCCCAGACUCCUACGGGAGGCAGCAGUAGGGAAUCUUCCACAAUGGGCGCAAGCCUGAUGGAGCAACGCCGCGUGAGUGAAGACGGCCUUCGGGUUGUAAAGCUCUGUCUGUCGGGACGAGGGCCCGGAUGCAAAUCCGGGAGGGACGGUACCGGCGGAGGAAGCCCCUGCAAACUACGUGCCAGCAGCCGCGGUAAGACGUAGGGGGCAAGCGUUGUCCGGAAUUACUGGGCGUAAAGGGCGUGUAGGCGGUUUCACACGUAGCGGUUUUCAGCCGCCGGCUCACCCGGCGGANGGCGGCUAAACGGUGGAACU
rnacentral:rRNA from 1 species